AUGAAUUCUGUAGAUCAUUAAAAAUUAAAUUUUAGCAGAAGGUCAUGGAAAAAGUCGUGAUAUCUGGGUCUUUUCAGCAUUUAAAAAGUCACAGUUUAUUGAUCACAGACAGCGACGGGAUUAAAAUCUUUUUCAGUAGACUUAGAUGAAGCUCAGAUCACGCUUAAAUUAGCCACCAAUAUUUUGAGUGAUUGGGAAAGAAGUCAUAGCCCCUUCCUCCAAGGACCGUGUACAUUCUUGAACUGUGCUUUUAAAAGAUUGUAGGUUUAUUACUGACUUCAGACCGGCUUGAAAGUAAAUAUAACAACUAUAUUAUUUUUUAAUACUAAAAAUACGUAAGUCGUAUUCAACAGCUAAUGACUAUGUAAGACGUUAAGACUCCCAACUGCCACGGGCAAGAGGCUAGGGAAGCUAUGCUGUCACCAAACGGACUUACCCAUUAUUUCUCUUUCCAAAUGGGACUCUACACUUUGGUUAUCCUGUCCUUGUCCACUGUUGUGUGGAGAACAGAAAACGGAGCAUUUUAUAUCUUAAGUCUUCAGACCUUCUCGUGGGUACCAUUUUACAGCUUUAACAGAUUCUGACUCACUUCGAUUUCCGGCGCUGCGGCUCCGGGUUGGACCGGACCUUCAGCAGCGCAUGCGCUCUGGUGCCGACCCGGUUCGAAGAUUUCAAAAUGGUGCCCGGCAGCGUGGCGUUGUUGGCCAGUCAGAGGCACAUCACGAGUCUGCGUCCCCCAGUGUCUCUGUGGCUGGAGAGAGUUCUCAACAAGUUUCCGCCUCCGCCACAGAUGCUUUGAGAUUAGUUGGACACUGAGAGCUGUCCAGAAAAACAAACUACAGGCCAGUGUGAUGGGUAUCACUUCAAAGAGAUGGCAGCGAAAGCUUCUAUUGGGUGUCUCCUUCAAUCUUGAGGUUACAGCCAGGAAACCUGUGUUUCAGAUAACAGACUGA
rnacentral:lncRNA from 1 species